AAAAAGAAUCUUGUUAGAGGGAUUUGAAAUGUAUCUUUAUUCUUCUUUUUUUCUUAUUUUUCAAUCGGAAGAGGAUAUAAAUAGAAAAAUUUAAUUUGUGCGAAUUUGAGGCGUUUAAUCACACUCGAUAAAAAAUCUUCUCAAUAGUUGCACUAUGAACAAACUAUUUUCGACUGCGUGUCGUUUCUUAGAUUCGACCGGUCUUAUUUCCAUUGAUCUUUUCCUAAUGCAUCAUAAUUAUUAUUACAUAACAUAUAUCAAUACUUAUACCAUUAUUACGAUAAGAUAUAGAUAAGAUAAUUAUAUAUAUAUAUAUUAUUUCCUGGUUUCAAACUUUCAAUUGAACAGAAUUGCAAUCGAAAUCGAAGUUUUCUUUUUAAAGUCUCGCAAUUGAUAACUGUCGACUUGAUUAGUUGAUAGUCGUUAUUCACGAUUAUAUAUCAUAGAUAUAUUUUCAAUUUUCCGCGAAAGAAUUUUCCAAUAUAAGUCGAUUCAAGGCGAAGAAAUACCAUGUCGAUGAACAAAGAAAGGGUCGAAUUUGUGAAACCGGAAAUAGAGUCAUCGACUAUUAUAUGUCUCCCCUCAACGAAAAUUAAUAAACAAUAGAGUAUGGAAUACGAAAGACUCUCAGUUUACCGUUAUCGUUCGUAGGAGACAGAAGGUUGUGGUGCAUUGAUGAGAAUUAAAAAUAAUCGACGAACGAGAAAUUGAAAUUUAUUAUAAUUUACAUUGGUUUCAUUAUAAGUGAGAAAAAUUCAAACAAUUUAUUCUGAAAGCAAAUUAAUGAUCAAUUUUCGUUCAAAUUUUACGAUCAAUCAGG